GACGAACGCUGGCGGCGUGCCUAAUACAUGCAAGUCGAGCGGGGUUUUCGGACCUAGCGGCGGACGGGUGAGUAAUGCGUAGGAAGCUGCCCGAUAGAGGGGGAUACCAGUUGGAAACGACUGUUAAUACCGCAUAAUGUCUACGGACCAAAGUGUGGGACCUUCGAGCCACAUGCUAUCGGAUGCGCCUACGUGGGAUUAGCUAGUUGGUGAGGUAAUGGCUCACCAAGGCGACGAUCUCUAGCUGGUUUGAGAGGAUGAUCAGCCACACUGAAACUGAGACACGGUCCAGACUCCUACGGGAGGCAGCAGUGGGGAAUAUUGGACAAUGGGCGCAAGCCUGAUCCAGCCAUGCCGCGUGUGUGAAGAAGGCCUUCGGGUUGUAAAGCACUUUCAGCGAGGAGGAAGGGUGGUGUGUUAAUAGCACAUCAUUUUGACGUUACUCGCAGAAGAAGCACCGGCUAACUCUGUGCCAGCCGCCGCCGUAAUAC
rnacentral:rRNA from 1 species